GCAGCACUUCUCUCAGCUGGCCAAGAGAUUUCUUUCCAAUAACAAAAAAAAAUUUACCAUACGCUGUAACGAUUAAAACGGCAACACUGUGCAGAAAAAAUACCACUCACAGGCUUACAGGUACCCUCCAUAUAGUCCUGCGAGGAUAUGUCCAGCUCUCUCUAUUACCGAAUGCUGUCAAGGGAUCGGAUCUCUUUGCGAUGGUUUUGCCAUCGUCUGCAUAACUACGGGCCCCUGCCAGUCCAGGUUGCUAUUUGCACCAUCCCCCUGCCUGUUUUUCCAGCUAUGUUUUUCAAGUUUUUUUCCAGCAGCCUAGGGACUCGUGGACAUAAUUAAGGCUGCUGAUGCACGAUGCUUUCGCUUUCCCCGCAGAUCUUUUAAUUAGUAUUCAACGAUAAUACUAGUCUGGUUCCGGACAGGCUUAUCUUGGAAUUAACGCUAGCCAAUGGCUAGGAGGGCUUACGGCGCUUCUGAAAACUAAAUGAAAUUUCUGUUGAGUAUAGCAAAUUUUCCAUAGGUCUGUGAAAAAUCACAGCUUCAGAUGUCACAGAAGCAGUACAUCUGGAAUCUAAUGGAAUAGGAUGUGGUUGAUAUACAUAAAUGGUUUUGCGUCGCUCCGUUGAGGUGAACUGUCGUCAAUAUUUUCUGUCGAAGCGUAGAUACAAAACGCAUGAAUGUGGGGGAGGCGAGCGUGGGAGAGCGAACGCCAGAUUCAACAAGGCCUGAUGCAAUCGCACGUCAAGUUCCAUUAUCUGCAUCUGUAUCUGUCCCUGCUGUGUGCCUGCACUCAAACAGAAACCUAUUUACACUUGUUGUCGUAUGCAUUAAUUGGUCAUAGCAGCGGCAAAUAAAGUAAAAAAAGAUGGAGAACGGCCAGCGUGUGGGACGGUGGUGCGUCAAUCCAUCGUGUGCAAUGUGGGGGAGGCUGCGCUGCGAAGGGUUAUCCAUCGAGAUGGUUAUUUAUAGCUCUCUAAUUGAGUGAAAGACAGUUGAAAAGUGUUGACACCAUGCCCUACGCUAUGCCUUCCGAUACACAGCUCCAAAGUGCCCAUGAACUGUUGCCAAAACUGUCCAAAACUUUCCCAGCAGUGGAAAAGGCAAUGUUGGACUUGAAGACAGCAGAGAUUUAAGCAUUUAAGAGACCCCCUCCCCCCCCCCCAUUUUGAUGGUAUUUUGCAUCCAAUUCCAGUUCACUAAUUAAAUAUUUCAUUUAUAAUUGGCCAAAGACAG